GGAGCUAUGUUGGGUAUGUGCUUGCAGAAGGCCGGUCGACCCAGAAAAUUGCGACCAUUCGUCAUUAGACCCUCAUCACAAGAACAGUUACUCCGAGUUUUGUUUUAUGGCCAGGUUUAAUAUGUCGAAUGGCGGUUUAAUUUUCGAAUAAUCAAGAAACCAAGCGGUUCUGUUGAGGUGAAGGGGAUGCCCGCCAACCCCUAGGAUCCGCGCCCUUCUCAUAUCCCACUCGCACUAAAGCCGGAGGACAGCUACUCUAUAUCACCAAGAAAUUAGCCUCGCAAAUAUCUUGUUGAAAUAAAUCUUCGAUUGACAAAAAAUAUUUAAAAUCAACAUCAUCGAAUGGACUUCAACAAUCUUUUCGAGCUUGUGUGCAUCUUUUGCAUUGGUUCCAGCAGGUGCAUCGCAAUGUAAAUUGGCGCCAGUGUUGACUGCGGCAGACGACUGUGUGUUGAACAAAAUUAAUACGUCACAUGAGCGAACUGACGCAUCCUUUUCUUCCAAGCCGCGGCGCUUGAGAUUAGAGAGCUUUUACAUCCAUCAAAAUCUCUGAAAUUUAGCGGGGAAAAUUGGUGUUGCAGACAAUGUUAUGAUGAUUACCAUAUUGAGAAGCCUUCUAUUCGACAGUGGGAUCCACUCAGACGGAGAACUUGAAAAACGGAAUAAGUUUGAGAAAUUUCAUUGACAGAAACUUUUACAAUUCAUCGUCAGCAGGUUCAGCGGGCCGGCUCAGCGAGUAAGGAAAAAUGUUCACGCCAGAGCUUGACCGGGAGACCUCUCUUCCACCUGUUGAGUUACCGCAAUCAACUACAGUAGUCCUAUAACUUUGAUCCGAACUUCGCGAAAAGUUUGAUGGUGGAGCUCCGAACAUUUGAAUAUUUCUCGUUACUUUCCAUGCAUAGCUCAUCAAUAUGAACUUCAUAUUUCCUGAACAUUUACCUGCGGAUGAAGGAAUGUUUGUAAAGCUUUUGCAAUGCCAAUGGAUCUCAAUGAACAAUUGUUUGGAACUGAUGAUCAUUUUUUGAUUGGUGCCGGAUUGGUCCAUUUUCUGUGUCAUCAGUGAGCCUGAAUGUAUGGCAAGGAUGUCAAUGGGAUCAGAUGGCAAUGCCGAGAUCGACUGAACAAAAGGUUCCUGUAUGAGUGUGUACUGCUGCUUGUCGAACAGACCAACCCUCAAGAAAAGGGAAGACGAUUCGUAUUCUUUAGCAAUGCGCGGAUUGUAAACCAUUGGAACAAUCAACUUCAUCUCCCAUCCUUGAUGUCCUUUGUAACGAUAAUGUCAUUCAUCUUUCUCCUAUCUGCUGUUACCAUUGAGCUUCAUCACCUUCAAUGGCCUUUUAGAUGUCUGAACUUCUCUGAAUAUCUACGCAGCGUUUGUAUGAAGGUAUUCUGCAGCCCGUCCAAGUAAGGAAUACCACUACCAUCCAAGUCCCUUGAACUCCCUUUUGUCACCUGUUCUCAUCAGCAAUCGACUUCUUCUGUCAUCUUUUGCAACGAUGUCAAUUGUGUUUCGCUCGUCUCCAUGCAUCAACCACUUUCAUCACGCUCAACGAUCUCAACAUUUUUUAUGUCUGAACUAAACAAAUUCCCAGCAUUCCUAUGAAGACGAUUUGCAGGCCAGCCAUCGCAACUAAUGCAACUGCGGCAAGCUUCUAGUACCACCCAAGUUCCUUCUUGAACUACAUUUUGUCAUCUGUUUUCAUCAGCAAUCAACUUUUCAUCCUUUCUAACAAUGAUGUCAGAUGUGAUGGGCUGUUUGCCUUUUGCUGCCAUCUUCACCAUGUUCAAUGACAAUUCAACUUUAUGGUGAUAUCUGAACUACUACAAAUUCCCAGCAUUCAUAUAAAGACAGUUAUCUGCAGGCCAGCCAAUGAAGACCAUCUGUAGGCCAGCCAGCUAACUGUGGCAAUUAACCUUCUAGUACCACCCAAGUUCCUUCUUGAACUCCAUUUUGUCAUCUGCCUUCAUCAGCAAUCGACUUCUUCUGUCAACCUUUCUAACAAUGAUGUCAGAUGUGAUUCCUUUGUUUGCCUUUUGCUGCCAUCUUC